AAUCGAAAAACUCCACAACCCUAACCCAUGCCCUAUCGCCGCCCACCUCGCGCUCGAUCCACGGUCCGGGCGCCAUCGCCGCCGGCCUCGCCCUCGAUCCAAAGUCCUACCGCCAUCGCCGCCGGCCUCGCGCUCGACCCCGUCGUCAAGUCGUCGUCCCGGAGGUCGCACCCCCCUCCCGCAAGCUCCACCCCACAUCCACCCAUCCUCGCACUCUGCCCCCUCUCCCCGAGAUCGAGCCGCGGUCCUCGCACUCCACAAUCCGACGGCCUUCCUCGUGUCCUCCUGACAUCCAGCCGUUGUCCUCGCGAAUCUCCAUCCCUGCUACCUCCGGGGCUCCAUCGUCGUGCUCCCGCUGCUGACGGAUCUGCUGCUAUCGGGGCUCCAUUGCCGGCCUCCCGCUGCUGCCGGACAUGCUGAUGCCAGGGAUCCAUCUCCAGGCUCAUUACGCUGCUACCGGACCUGCUGCCAGGGCUCCAUCUCCUUCGAGCUAUGCCCCUCCCGAAUCCAGUCGUCCCCGUGCCUUGAGCCAACUUUAGAUACUUGGCAAAUUUGAUAUUAAUGGUGCAUCGUGGAAAAAACGUGGUUGUCUAAGCCUAGAUGAGUCGACAACGAAGCUCGGGGACGUGAUAUGGCGCUCGGUGUAGGUGGCCAUGGUGGACCCGAAGCUGGCUGAGAUAAGCGAUGGGAUCAAAGAUGCCAAGAAGACAACUAAUGUGUCAGGAGGUGCAGCUACUUAUCCACACCUAGCAUUGGAUGUGAGGAGGACUUGGAGUGUCAUGGAACACAUAUGGCUGUUUGUAGUAUUUUGGACCAACCAACUUCAAUCAUUUCUUGAAUCUUAUGUGUGUUGUGGACCAUUUGGUGCUUCAAGUGUUUUGGAGUAGAAACUUUGUGCUCAUGUAUGUGAUUUAUGUGUUCUGGACCAUUGUUUGAAUUAGUUCAGACUAGCAAAUAGUGGCCCUUUGACUUGUGUGUUCUGGAUGGUCAAA